AAAGAGAUACCACUGAGGCCACUCGUAGAAGACGAGUUCGAUAGACUCGGGAUGUACGCACCAAGGCAACGAGGUGUUGAGUCCGCGAGCACUAACUGGCCAAGCC
rnacentral:rRNA from 1 species